UGAGAAACCCGAAAGGUCGAAGAGAGAAAUUCAUUCGCGUUUCGAUGUAGGCGUUGAACGGAGUCGUGUGACGAAAUUCGUCAUUUUUCGGAAUGUACGAGUUUUGCGCCCUUCGUUCUUCGAACCGACGACGAACGCGUGCACUUUUCUCUUGGUAGGACGUCGCGAUUCGUUGGGUGUCGGUCUACGACUUGCGGUGGAGCCCGUACGUCGUCUUGUACGUUACGUGCGGACCCGCUUGUUCUGACCGACUCGCUCGACGAUAUACGUAAGGUCGAAGGCCGCUCGUUUAGGAGCGUUCGACUCGUCGCAAGCGCGCCAUGUGCGUCGGCACGCGGACCUAGUGCCGCGUCCGACCUCUGGUGACUGUUGGCGGCGAUGUUCUCGAACAGACCUUUUUUUCGAUUCAUCGGAAAAUGACCGAUCGGCGACGCUAUAGCUUUGGGUACUUUCAGGACCCGUCUUGAAACACGGACCAAGGAGUCUAGCAUGUACGCGAGUCAUUGGGAAUUACUAAACCUAAAGGCGUAAUGAAAGUAAAGAUCUUCCUCGCGAAGAUCGAGGGAAGACGAACGUGUGUGUUCGUAAAAAAAUCACCGUUCUGCAUUCCCGGGGCGUCUCAUUCACAUCGCGUGAAGAGGCGCACCAAGAGCGUACACGCUGGGACCCGAAAGAUGGUGAACUAUGCCUGGUCAGGACGAAGUCAGGGGAAACCCUGAUGGAGGUCCGUAGCGAUUCU
rnacentral:rRNA from 1 species